rnacentral:rRNA from 1 species
UGGGGAAUUUUGGACAAUGGGCGAAAGCCUGAUCCAGCCAUGCCGCGUGAGUGAAGAAGGCCUUCGGGUUGUAAAGCUCUUUUAGUCGGAAAGAAAGAGUCGCAAUGAAUAAUUGUGAUUUAUGACGGUACCGACAGAAAAAGCACCGGCUAACUACGUGCCAGCAGCCGCGGUAAUACGUAGGGUGCGAGCGUUAAUCGGAAUUACUGGGCGUAAAGGGUGCGCAGGCGGUUUUGCAAGUCAGAUGUGAAAGCCCCGGGCUUAACCUGGGAAUUGCGUUUGAAACUACAAGGCUAGAGUGCAGCAGAGGGGAGUGGAAUUCCAUGUGUAGCAGUGAAAUGCGUAGAGAUGUGGAAGAACACCGAUGGCGAAGGCGAGCUCCCUGGGUUUGACACGUGACGC